CAUUUAUUGAAAGAGAGCAUUACAACCUAGCCAUCUAAAGGGGAUCACCAGGUGAAGUGUGUAGCAGGACAAUGGGGCUCAUGCCACUUGCAUAGGGGCAGGCAACCAAAGGCUACACUCCUUAACAACCUAUCACUCCCCUAUAAGGAUGUUUUUAUGCUUUUUGUAUUUUUCCAGAAGGAGACAUGACCCCCCCCCUG